UCAACGCCGGUCAGUGUGCUUCUGGUUUCUACAGUAGCAGAGGCGACCAGGAGGGCACGUAUGGGGUGUGUACAUUGAAAGGACCAGUACGAUCAUGCUCGAUUCGCUUCGAGCAGGACCAUGGCGUCAAUUCCAACGCCAUCCGUGAGAUCUCCCUCUUCAAGGAUGCGCAACAUCCAAACAUGGUCAGUACUGCAACCCUCUUGCCUUCCUCUCCCUCCCUGCAUGGUGGUCGCUAUCAGCAUCAGCAUCAAGGUUUAGGGUGCCUUUCGUCCCUCUUGUAUGGAUGGAUAGGUUGGUGUGUUUUGUUCUUUCUUUCUUUGUUGCCACGUAGGUUGCAGGAGGAGGUGCCCACCUGCACAAUGAGAAGUGCAUAUGCCGACUCAUCCCGGAGACCAGAACUUCAAAUAUAUAGACACAUACACGUAGUCAAGGCAGAUGCCAACAAAAAAAAUGAUUUGAUUUUAUUUGGCUUGUUUAUCAAUUGUCUCUUACUAUUUCCUAACAUUUCCUCAGUUUGGCCCUGAAAUACUGAUGUACUUUGGUUGUAUUUGUUGACUUGUUGUUUCAUUCAGUUUGCAAGGGUUACUUUGUGCAAAUUCUUAACACAGUCAUCAUAAUUGCAUCUAUAGCAAAUAGCUAUUAUCGAAAUGAUAGACCACUCCAAGAUUAUGAUUGUACUAUGCCAAAUUGCCAAUUUCUAUCACUAGGAGUAAUACUCGUGUAUCUCUAAAAAAACAACUACUAAUGUACUCCCUCCGGAACAAAUAUAAGACUGUUUAGAUCACUAAUUUAGUGAUCGAAACUGUCUUUAUAUUUGUUUAUGGAGGGAGUAUCAUGCAAACAUUUGAGGCACCCUAGCGAAGAUGCAUGGCGGCAGAAGCGACACUCCGAGCACAUGGUCGCCGCGAGAGCCUCGCCGGGGUAAGAGAAAAAAAUGUUGGAUUUCAAGCACAUCAUGUAGGAGAGACGGGAUAGGUUGGUGUCAUAGCGGCCGGGUGCAAGCAUAGAUGAGUAUGGUGUUUACAUGCUAAUUACUUCUACAUUAAUAUAAUUGUUUGAUGACUCUGAAGGGAGAAGAAAAUGGCAAAGAAUCCAUCAAAAUUCAUGGUGUUGAUGUGGAAGGUUGGGGGAUUUUUAGACGGAUGCGCCAUUAAUGGUGGUUGCGAUCUUGGCAGCAAGCGCUUGGGUCGGGAAGAUAGAGAUAGUGGGUGAAGAGGAGGAGAAGGAGCCCGAAUAAGAAGAGUACUUUAAGGGUACAAAAGAAGUCAACAAUGAUGCUUAAUGUGCAUUAGGAUCCUAAAGAUGUACGUUUUGGACAAUUAAGCACUAGCAUAUUUAUACCCCUGUUGCAACACAUAGGCUGAUUAGUUCAAAUUUAUUUGCUUUAAGGGUUUUUGUAAGGAUGGUGUAUCUUGCACUACAAAAACGCAAUAAAAAUUAAUAUUUUGUCUUCACAUCUUGCUUGUGUGUACUGCAUAAUUAUAUUGUCCACAAAUAACAUACACCAAUAAUAUGUCUCUAUCUACCAGUGCAUACUUGCACGGCAGUCUAUAAGAAUUAAUUAAGGUGUUGAGAUAUGGAGGAGUCGUCACAUGCAAGUGUUGGAAAUAUGCCCUAAAGGCAAUAAUAAAUUAGUUAUUAUUAUAUUUUCUUGUUCAUGAUAAUCGUUUAUUAUCCAUGCUAUAAUUGUAUUGAUAGGAAACUCAGAUACAUGUGUGGGUACAUAGACAACACCAUGUCCCUAGUGAGCCUCUAGUUGACUAGCUCGUUGAUCAAUAGAUGGUUACGAUUUCUUGACCAUGGACAUUGGAUGUCGUUGAUAACGGGAUCACAUCAUUAGGAGAAUGAUGUGAUGGACAAGACCCAAUCCUAAGCCUAGCACAAAGAUCGCGUAGUUCGUAUGCUAAAGCUUUUCUAAUGUCAAGUAUCUUUUCCUUAGACCAUGAGAUUGUGCAACUCCUGGAUACCGUAGGAAUGCUUUGGGUGUACCAAACGUCACAAAGUAACUGGGUGGCUAUAAAGGUACACUACGGGUAUCUCUGAAAGUGUCUGUUGGGUUGGCAUGAAUCGAGACUGGGAUUUGUCACUCCGUGUAACGGAGAGGUAUCUCUGGGCCCACUCGGUAGGACAUCAUCAUAAUGUGCACAAUGUGACCAAGGGGUUGAUCAUGGGAUGAUGUGUUACGGAAUGAGUAAAGAGACUUGCCGGUAACGAGAUUGAACAAGGUAUCGACAUACCGACGAUCGAAUCUCGGGCAAGUACAAUACCGCUAGACAAAGGGAAUUGUAUACGGGAUUGAUUGAGUCCUUGACAUCGUGGUUCAUCCGAUGAGAUCAUCAUCGAACAUGUGGGAGCCAACAUGGGUAUCCAGAUCCCGCUGUUGGUUAUUGGCCGGAGAACGUCUAGGUCAUGUCUGCAUGGUUCCCGAACCCGUAGGGUCUACACACUUAAGGUUCGAUGACGCUAGGGUUAUAAAGGAAGUUUGUAUGUGGUUACCAAUGUUGUUUGGAGUCCCGGAUGAGAUCCCGGACGUCACGAGGAGUUCCGGAAUGGUCCGGAGGUAAAGAUUUAUAUAUGGGAAGUCCUAUUUUGGCCACCGGAAAAUGUUCGGGGUUUUCGGUAUUAUACCAGGAAGGUUCUAGAAGGUUCCAGAGUGGGGCCCACCUGCAUGGGGGGACCCACAUGAACGUGGGUAGUGGGGGCAAGGCCCCACACCCCUGGUCAAGGCGCACCAAGAUCCCCCCUUAGAAGGAAUAAGAUCAUAUCCCGAAGGGAUAAGAUCAAGAUCCCUAAAAGGGGGGGAUAACAAUCGGUGGGGAAGGAAAUGAUGGGAUUUCUUUCCUCCCACCUUUGCCAACGCCCCAAUGGACUUGGAGGACAAGAAACAAGCCCCCUCCACCCCUAUAUAUAGUGGGGAGGCGCAUGGGAGCUUUACCAAAGUUCUGGCGCAGCCCUCCCCCUCUCCCAAGUCCUCCUCCUCUCCCGCGGUGCUUGGCGAAGCCCUACAGGAUUGCCACGCUCCUCCACCACCACCACGCCGUCGUGCUGCUGCUGGACGGAGUCUUCCCCAACCUCUCCCUCUCUCCUUUCUGGAUCAAGGCAUGGGAGACGUCACCGGGCUGCAUGUGUGUUGAACGCGGAGGUGCCGUCCGUCCGGCACUAGGAUCUCCGGUGAUUUGGAUCACGACGAGUACGACUCCUUCAACCCCGUUCACUUGAACGCUUCCGCUUAGCGAUCUACAAGGGUAUGUAGAUGCACUCUCCUUCCCCUCGUUUCUAGUUUCUCCAUAGAUGGAUCUUGGUGACUCGUAGGAAAAUUUUGAAUUUCUGCUACGUUCCCCAACAGUGGCAUCAUGAGCUAGGUCUAUGCAUAGUUUCUAUGCACGAGUAGAAGACAAAGUAGUUGUGGGCGUUGAUUUUGUUCAAUAUGCUUACCGUUACUAGUCCAAUCUUGAUUCGGCGGCAUUGUGGGAUGAAGCGGCCCGGACCGACCUUACACGUACACUUACGUGAGACAGGUUCCACCAACUGACAUGCACUUGUUGCAUAAGGUGGCUAGCGGGUGCCAGUCUCUCCCACUUUAGUCGGAUCAGAUUCGAUGAAAAGGGUCCUUAUGAAGGGUAAAUAGCAAUUGACAUAUCACAUUGUGGUUUUGCGUAGGUAAGAAACGUUCUUGCUAGAAACCCAUAGCAGCCACGUAAAACAUGCAAACAACAAUUAGAGGACGUCUAACUUGUUUUUGCAGGGUAUUGCUAUGUGAUGUGAUAUGGCCAAGAAGAAUGUGAUGAAUGAUAUGUGAUGUAUGAGAUUGAUCAUGUUCUUGUAAUAGGAAUCACGACCUGCAUGUCAAUGAGUAUGACAACCGGCAGGAGCCAUAGGAGUUGUCUUAAUUUAUUGUAUGACCUGCGUGUCAUUGAACAACGCCAUGUAAUUACUUUACUAUAUUGCUAAACCUUUAGCCAUAGUAGUAGAAGUAAUAGUUGGCGAGACAACUUCAUGGAGACACGAUGAUGGAGAUCAUGGUGUCAUGCCGGUGACGAUGAUGAUCAUGGAGCCCCGAAGAUGGAGAUCAAAAGGAGCAAAAUGAUAUUGGCCAUAUCAUGUCACUAUUUGAUUGCAUGUGAUGUUUAUCAUGUUUAUACAUCUUAUUUGCUUAGAACGACGGUAGUAAAUAAGAUGAUUCCUCAUUAAAAUUUCAAGAAAGUGUUCACCCUAACUGUGCACCGUUGCCAAAGUUCGUCGUUUCAAAGCACCACGCGAUGAUCGGGUGUGAUAGAUUCUAACGUUCGCAUACAAUGGGUGUAAGCCAGAUUUACACACGCGAAACACUUAGGUUGACUUGACGAGCCUAGCAUGUACAGACAUGGCCUCAGAACACAAGAGACCGAAAGGUCGAGCAUGAGUCGUAUAGUUCAUACGAUCAACAUGAAGAUGUUCACCGAUGAUGACUAGUCUGUCUCACGUGAUGAUCGGACACGGCCUAGUUGACUCGGAUCAUGUAAUCACUUAGAUGACUAGAGGGAUGUCUAUCUGAGUGGGAGUUCAUAAGAUGAACUUAAUUAUCCUGAACAUAGUCAUAAGAUUCUUGCAAAUUGUGUCGUAGCUCGCGCUUUAGUUCUACUGUUUUAGAUAUGAUCCUACAGAAAAUUUAGUUGAAAGUUGAUAGUAGCAAUUAUGCGGACUGGGUCCGUAAACUGAGGAUUGUCCUUGUUGCUUCGUAGAAGGCUUAUGUCCUUAAUGCACCGCUCAGUGUGCUAAACCUCGAACGUCGUCUGUGGAUGUUGCGAACAUUUGACAUACACGUUUUUGAUAACUUCAUGAUAGUUCAGUUAAACGGUUUAGAGUUGAGGCACCAAAGACGAUUUUGAAACGUCACGGAACAUAUGAGAUGUUUCGAGGGCUGAAAUUGGGAUUUCAGGCUCGUGCCCACAUCAAGAGGUAUAAGACCUCCGACGAUUUUCUUAGCCUGCAAACUAAGGGAGAAAAACUCAAUCAUUGAGCUUGUGCUCAGAUUGUCUGAGUACAACAAUCACUUUAAUCGAGUGGGAGUUGAUCUUCCAGAGAUAGUGAUGUUUCUCAAAAGUCAUUGCCACUAAGCUGCUAGAGCUUCGUGAUUAACUAUAACAAAUCAGGGAUAGAUAUGAUGAUCCUUGAGAUAUUCGCGAUGUUUGACACCGCGAAAGUAGAAGUCAAGUAGGAGCAUCAAUUUUUGAUGGUUACUAAACCCACUAGUUUCAAAAAGGGCAAGGGCAAGAGGGGAUACUUCAUGAAACGGCAAAAACAUUUGCUGCUCUAGUGAAGAAACCCAAGGUUGAACCCAAACCCGAGACUAAGUGCUUCUGUAAUAUGAGGGGAACGGUCACUGGAGCAGAAUUACCCUAGGUACUUAGUAGAUAAGAAGGCAUGCAAGGUCGAUAGAAGUAUAUUGGAUAUACAUUAUAUUAAUGUGUACUUUACUAGUACUCCUAGUAGCACCAGGGUAUUAGAUACCGGUUCGGUUGCUAAGUGUUAGUAACUCAAAAUAAAAGCUACAGGAAUAAACGGAGACUAGCUAAAGGUGAGCUGACGAUAUGUGUUGGUAGUGUUUCCAAGGUUGAUGUGAUCAAGCAUCGCACGCUCCCUCUACCAUCGAGAUUGGUGUUAAAAUAAUUGUUAUUUGGUGUUUGCGUUGAGCAUAGACAUGAUUGGAUUAUGUCUAUCGCAAUACGGUUAUUCAUUUAAGGAGAAUAAUGGUUACUCUGUUUAUUUGAAUAAUACCUUCAAUGGUAUUGCACCUAAAAGGAAUGGUUUAUUGAAUCUCAAUCGUAGUGAUACACAUUUUCAUGCCAAAAGAUAUAAGAUAGUAAUGAUAGUACCACUUGUGGCAGUUCCAUGUAAGUCAUAUUGGUGUAAAACACAUGAAGAAGCGCCAUGUUGAUGGAUCUUUGGACUCACUCAUUUUUGAAAAGUUUGAGACAUGCGAACCAUGUCUAUUGGUGUAUACGCAUGAAGAAACUCCAUGCAGAUGGAUCGUUUGGACUCACUUGAUUUUGAAUCACUUGAGACAUGCAAAUCAUACCACAUGGGCAAGAUGACUGAAAGCCUCGUUUUCAGUAAAAUGGAACAAGAAAGCAACUUGUUGGAAGUAAUACAUUUUGAUGUGUGCAAUCCAAUGAGUGCUGAGGCACGUAGUGGAUAUCAUUAUGUUCUUACUUCACGGAUGAUUUGAGUAGAUACUGAGUAUAUUUACUUGAUGAAACACAAGUCUGAAUUAUUGUAUGAUUCAAGUAAUUUCAGAGUGAAGUUGAAGAUCAUCGUGACAAGAGGAUAAAAUGUCUAUGAUAUGAUCAUAGAGAUGAGUAUCUGAGUUACGAGCUUUGGCACACAAUUAAGACAUUGUGGAAAUUGUUUCACAAUUAAUACCGCCUGGAACACCAUAGUGUGAUGGUGUGUCCGAACAUCAUAGUUGCACCCUAUUAGAUAUGGUGCGUACCAUGAUGUCUCUUAUCGAAUUACCACUAUCGUUUAUGGGUUAGGCAUUAGAUAUAACCACAUUCACUUUAAAAUAGGGCACCACGUAAUUCCGUUGAGACACACCAUUUGAACUAUGGUUUGAAGAGACCUAAGUUGUCGUUUCUUAAAAUGUUGGGGCUGCGACGCUUAUGUGAAAAAGUUUCAAGUUGAUAAGCUCGAACCCAAAGUGGAUAAAAUGCAUCUUCAUAGGACACCCAAAACAGUUGGGUAUACCUCCUAAUUCAGAUCCGAAAGCAAUAGGGAUUGUUUCUUGAAUCGGGUCCUUUCUCGAGGAAAAGUUUGUCUCGAAAAGUUGAGUGGGAGGAUGGUGGAGACUUGAUGAGGUUAUUGAACCGUCACAUCAACUAGUGUGUGUAGCAGGGCACAGAAAGUUGUUCCUGUGGCACCUACACCAAUUGAAGUAGAAGCUUAUGAUAGUGAUCAUGAAACUUCGGAUCAAGUCACUACCGUACCUCAUAGGGUGACAAGGAUGCGUACUACUUCAGAGUAGUACAGUAAUCCUGUCUUGAAGGUCAUGUUGCUAGACAACAAUGAACCUACGAGCUAUGGGGAAGCGAUGGUGGGCCCAUAUUCCAACAAAUGGUUAGAAGCCAUGAAAUCCGAGAUAGGAUCCAUGUAUCAGAACAAAGCAUGGACUUUGGUGGACUUACCCGAUGAUCGGCAAGCCAUUAAGAUAAAUGGAUCUUUAAGAAGAAGACGGACGUGGACGGUAAUGUCACCGUCUAUGAAGCUCAACUUGUGGUGAAGAGUUUUUCACAAGGUCAAGGAAGUUGACUACGAUGAGAUUUUCUCAUCUGUCGCGAUGCUUAAGUCCGUCGGAAUCAUGUUAGCAUUAGCUGGGUUUAUGAAAUCUGGUAGAUGGAUGUCAAAACGAGUUUCCUUACCAGCUUUCAUAAGGAAAGGUUGUAUGUGACACAAUCAGAAAGGUUUUGUCGAUCCUAAGGAUGCUAAAAGGUAUGCUAGCUCCAGCGAUCCUUCCAUGGACUGGAGUAAGCAUCUCGGAGUUGGAAUACACACUUUGAUAAGAUGAUCAAAGAUUUUGGGUUUAUACAAAGUUUACGAGAAACUUGUAUUUCCAAAGAAGUGAGUGGGAGCACUAUAGAAUUUCUGAUGAGUAUAUGUUGUUGACAUAUUGUUGAUCAGAAAUGAUGUAGAAUUUCUGGAAAGCAUAUAGGGUUAUUUCUGGAAAACCUGCAUUAAGCUCCUUGAACAUUGAGCAUCAAGAUCUAUAAGGAUAGAUCAAAACGCUUAAUGGUACUUUCAAAUGAGCACAUACCUUGACAUGAUCUUGAAGGUGUUCAAGAUGGAUCAGUCAAAGAAGGAGUUCUUGCCUGAGUUGUAAGGUACGAAGUUAAGACUUAAAGCUCGACCACGGCAGAAAAGAGAGAAAGGACGAAGGUCGUCCCCUAUGCUUUAGACGUAGGCUCUACAGUAUGCUAUGCUAAGUACCGCACCUGAUGUGUGCCUUGCCACAUGUCUGGCAAGAUGGUACAAAGGUGAUCAAGGUGUGGAUCACCAGACAGCGGUCAAAAAUUGUCCUUGGAGUAAUAAGGACAUGUUUCUCGAUUAUGGAGGUGAUAAAGAGUUCGGUGUAAAGGGUUACGUCGAUGCAAGCUUUAACACCUAUCCGAAUGACUCUGAGUAGCAAACCGAAUACAUAUAGUGGAGCAACCAUUUGGAAUAGCUCCAAGUGGAGCGUGGAAGCAGCAUUUACAAUAUGACCUAGAGAUUUGUGAAGUACAUACGGAUCUGAAUGUUGCAGACCCGUUGACUAAAACCUCUCUCACAAGCAAAACAUGAUCAAACCCCAGAACUCAUUGAGUCUUAAUCACAUGAUGAUGUGAACUAGUUUAGUGACACUAGUAAACUCUUUGGAUGUUGGUCACAUGGCGGUGUGACCUGUCAGUGUUAAUCACAUGGCGAUGUGAACUAGAUUAUUGACCCUAGUGCAAGUGGGAGACUGUUGGAAAUAUGCCCUAGAGGCAAUAAUAAAUUAGUUAUUAUUAUAUUUCCUUGUUCAUGAUAAUCGUUUAUUAUCCAUGCUAUAAUUGUAUUGAUAGGAAACUCAGAUACAUGUGUGGGUACAUAGACAACACCAUGUCCCUAGUGAGCCUCUAGUUGACUAGCUCGUUGAUCAAUAGAUGGUUACGGUUUCCUAACCAUGGACAUUGGAUGUCAUUGAUAAUGGGAUCACAUCAUUAGGAGAAUGAUGUGAUGGACAAGACCCAAUCCUAAGCCUAGCACAAAGAUCGUGUAGUUUGUAUGCUAAAGCUUUUCUAAUGUCAAGUAUUUUUUCCUUAGGCCAUGAGAUUGUGCAACUCCCGGAUACCGUAGAAAUGCUUUGGGUGUACCAAACGUCAUAACAUAACUGGGUGGCUAUAAAGGUACACUAUGGGUAUCUCCGAAAGUGUCUGUUGGGUUGGCAUGAAUCGAGACUGGGAUUUGUCACUCCGUGUAACGGAGAGGUAUCUCUGGGGCCACUCGGUAGGACAUCAUCAUAAUGUGCACAAUGUGACCAAGGGGUUGAUCACGGGAUGAUGUGUUACGGAACGAGUAAAGAGACUUGCUGGUAACGAGAUUGAACAAGGUAUCGGCAUACCGACGAUCGAAUCUCGGGCAAGUACAAUACCUCUAGACAAAGGGAAUUGUAUACGGGAUUGAUUGAGUCCUUGACAUUGUGGUUCAUCCGAUGAGAUCAUCGUGGAACAUGUGGGAGCCAACAUGGGUAUCCAGAUCCCGCUGUUGGUUAUUGGCCGGAGAACGUCUAGGUCAUGUCUGCAUGGUUCCCGAACCCGUAGGGUCUACACACUUAAGGUUCGAUGAUGCUAGGGUUAUAAAGGAAGUUUGUAUGUGGUUACCGAAUGUUGUUCGGAGUCUAGGAUGAGAUCCCGGACGUCACGAGGAGUUCCGGAAUGGUCCGGAGGUAAAGAUUUAUAUAUGGGAAGUCCUAUUUUGGCCACCAGAAAAUGUUCGGGAUUUUUCGGUAUUGUACCGGGAAGGUUCUAGAAGGUUCCGGAGUGGGGCCCACCUGCAUGGGGGGACCCACAUGAACGUGGGUAGUGGGGGCAAGGCCCCACACCCCUGGUCAAGGCGCACCAAGAUCCCCCCUUAGAAGAAAUAAGAUCAUAUCUCGAAGGGAUAAGAUCAAGAUCCCUAAAAAGGGGGGAUAACAAUCGGUGGGAAAGGAAAUGAUGGGAUUUCUUUCCUCCCACCUUUGCCAACGCCCCAAUGGACUUGGAGGGCAAGAAACCAGCCCCCUCCACCCCUAUAUAUAGUGGGGAGGCGCAUGGGAGCUUUACCAAAGUUCUGGCGCAGCCCUCCCCCUCUCCCAAGUCCUCCUCCUCUCCCGCGGUGCUUGGCGAAGCCCUGCAGGAUUGCCACGCUCCUCCACCACCACCACGCCUUCAUGCUGCUGCUGGACGGAGUCUUCCCCAACCUCUCCCUCUCUCCUUGCUGGAUCAAGGCAUGGGAGACGUCACCGGGCUGCAUGUGUGUUGAACGCGGAGGUGCCGUCCGUUCGGCACUAGGAUCUCCGGUGAUUUGGAUCACGACGAGUACGACUUCUUCAACCCCGUUCACUUGAAUGCUUCCGCUUAGCGAUCUAAAAGGGUAUGUAGAUGCACUCUCCUUCCCCUCGUUGCUAGUUUCUCCAUAGAUGGAUCUUGCUGACUCGUAGGAAAAUUUUGAAUUUUUGCUACGUUCCCCAACAGCAAGGGGGGAGGUGGUGUUAGCCUACCAUCAGAAUGCGGGUCACGAGGGUGGGUGAAGACAAAGGGGAGGAGUAAUAGGAUGCCGCAUGCAGAAUUCAACAGGUGCAAAAAUAUGUCAGACGAAUGACGUAUGGUCCCUACCAUAGCAUUCACUAAAUAAACUGAUAAGAUGAAUUAUAAAUUUAUAUGGACAUGUCGCUUAAUUAUCUAUUUGAUUUAUUCACUAAUACCUGAUUGAAUCAGGCAUGUGCGUGAGAGAGGGAAGAGGAGAGAAUCAUUGACAUUUUUUAUGCUUUGGAUGAACAUUUUUAUUCAUAGCUUUCUUUUUUCAUGAGAACAUGAGCAUAUCACUGUCGUGGUACAGUUCGGGAUGAAGGGUGGGUCCAGUAUAGAACAAGGAGGUACUAGCACACUAACAUGGGAAGACGAUUGCCGCCCUUAUACCAUGCUGCUGGCCGGUGACGGCGAUGUUGAUCACUGGCUCACUUAAAACACAAGUUGAUGGAUUUUGUGAUAAGAGUAAGCGGAAUGGGGGUUAGGGUUGGUCUAUUCAGUUACGGGUCCACCUUCUUGGCUCUGGGGGCGUCACAGGCGGCGCAUACCUCCUCCUCCUUGAUGGCGGUGAUGGAACCACAUGAACACGGGGGAGGGGAUCAUGGCGGCAAGCGGGGCAUGCAUUACGGGGCACUCCUCCUUGACGGUCUGUGAGGAAGUACAGUCUGAAGGAGAGAGGGUGCCAUGGUGAAAGUGAGGUGGGCAUCAUCCUAUUUUAAAGGAGAGGGCUCCAGCAUGAAAUGUCCUGCUACGACGGGAAACCGAGCGGGAAGAGGAGGGCCUGACGGGAAACAGAGAGGGUGCGUCGUGGGGGCGGGGUUUUGCAUUGAGACCGUGUGUUGGAGAUAACAUCACAAAUAGUCUGAAUAGUCAUAUUUCUUCCUCACAUGUGCGUUGUUGCCUGUAGCAGCCCGUAGCAAAGCACGGGCAUUCUACUAGUUUAGUUAAUAGGCCAAUCCAUUGAUUAAACUCCAAUCAGCACCCGACUGACCAGCCACCACUUACGGAUAACCAGAACAUUGCCAGGUGGUAAACCAGCUUUGCAAUCUCUCAGAGGAACGCACAACCCAUAGUUUUUGGAAAGCUCCAGCCACCUGCUUCCGCAACCACAUCCGCUGGUCCUGCUGUAAGUGACGAAGGACCUUGGUACUCUUAAUGUUCCUACCUUGUCGUUUGCCUCUGCAUGCUUCGAGCAUUAUUUCCGCCUUUAUCUUCUCCACGCAACGCAUAGGUGGGCACUACCAUGAUUAGACCUCCAACAUACCUGGUAUGUCAUAGCCUCGGAACUACGAUGAAGAAAGUCUAUGGCCUUGGGUAGCAGCAUCUCGUCGAGUUGGUCCGAGUGAACAUUUAUAUGUGUGAGGUGAUGUUGAUUCUCUCUAUCGAUCACCUCUAUCACAGAACCGGUAGACUUGGGGUCCUCGGAAGAGUCAUGAGGCAAGAAUAGAAUUCCAAGCUUCAAAGGUAGAGAGUUGUCCAAAGAAGAUGUGUGAUCAUGACCAGCAACUACUGUCGAUCCUGGCGGCUUACUAUACUCAAAUAAUGAGAUCUGACGCAGCAAAAACACUCCGCAGACUUGUUCAGGAAAUAUGCUUGAAAAUCUCAAUUUGUUUCCUCUUCCAUUGCUGUUGUCACUGCUGCUGUGACAAGAGUGAACGAGGUCAUGCUCGUAUCCUUACAGCAUAAUGGCUCUGGACGAAACCAUGUUGUCAACAUCUCAUGGAUGUGGAUCCAUGGAUCAUUCCCUGUAACAUAGGAGAAAUCUUGUGUAGGGAGAUGAAUGAUCUCUUUGAUAACAAAGUCGGCCGAAGACUUGAAGUGAGGUGUCAUAACUUGCAAGCACUUUACUACAGUUCCCAUUAUGUUUGUACUCUCAGAUAUACGAAGCAUGACCACGAGCAAAAAACUCUUCUUGGGCACCUUGCAAUCCUCAUACAUGAAGGAUAGAAGGGCUUCCAACCCACGCUCCUCGGAACCAACCGCCCGUAUGCUGAGGUAGUAAUCAGGGUGGACACGGUCCGGGCCGGUCCGGUCCCUGACCGAGCCUCCCUUUGGACCGGCCGAAACUGGCCCGGACCGGACCGGACCGAGCUUACAUGCGGUCCUGUUUCACAGGACCGGACCGGCUGCACCUCAGCUCGGUGCGGACCGAGGGGACCGACUGGACCGUGUACAGUUUGUGUGUGGGAGUGCACUGGGAGCCUUUUUAGUACUCAUUUGACAGCAAAUUCGAACAUAUAGAUUAUUAGGUUGCAAAAGAGGUUCAAAUGGAAGAAAAAUAAGCAAGGUUGCAAGAAAAACAGCACAGGACGGUGUCUAACUGAAGAAAGUUCAGAGGGAGUGAACAAAUACCAACUGAAACUGAAGAAAGUUCAGAGGGAGUGAACAAUUACCAACUGAAGAAAUUUCAGAGAGAAGAAACAAUUACAAAUUGACAGCCACGACAUGCGGGACUUCAGGUGCACGUGCAGCAGCUCCAUCCCCCGCGUCCUCCAGCUCCGUCCCCGCGUCCUCCAGCUUUGUGCUCGACGGCGGCUAACCGGUGAGGAGGUGGUCGAAGACGGGCAGGUAGAGACGGCGACGGUCGACGACGGCGAGCAGGUGCAGCCGUGCAGACACGAAGCUCCCUCCUUGGCUCCUCCACUCCUCCUUUCACCGCGUGCAGGUGCAGACAAGGAGGUGGUGGUCGACGUUGGCAACGGCGGCCGGUGGAGGCGGCGCUCCCAGCCAGGAGGAAAGGGGAUCGGCGAAUUGGGGGAGCGAGGGCCUCUGCCCUAGCAUCUUAUCGACUCGCUAUCCCUGCACUGGACUACUGGGCUAUGCGCCUGGGCCAAAUGUCGCGGUCCGACCGAGCCAGCUCGGAUAAAAACAGGACCGGACCGACUUGUUUUCGGGCCUGUUUCUGUAGACCGGACCGGCCAUUUUUAUCAGCGGGCCAGGACCGAACGGUCCGGUCCUUAGCGGGCCGCGAGCCGGGCCGAAAGCUCGCUCGCCACGUCCAGGCUGAGGUAGUAAUACCGGCCUCCGGAUUGCAACACCUGAUACAACACGGUUUUGCCCGCGAAGAUAUGCCCAAUGAGAGGGUCGAAGAAUAGGUGUUGUCGCAGUGUCCCACCAAGCUGCACAUAUCUUAUAAAUUCACCAGCACCUUCAGCGUACUUCUCAAAUCUACGGACGGCUGCUGCUGUCUCAAAACCCGCAUGGCAAUGAUCAUUGUUGCGGACAACAUAAGAGGAGAUGAAUUCCUUGGUCGCUUGAGCAAACCUUGUGGGAAAUGAGGAUUUCCUUACGGCUUUCUCCGCCUCGUUUUCUUGGCGAGAAAGUUGCCUGCAUCUGUGUGCUGCAUCGUCACAGUCCUGCGCAGCGUGCUUCAGCUUCUUUCGCCAAUGGAGUAGCGACGUGUCAGUGAUCUGCCACUUAUCAGACGUCUGGAGUGCAGCCUCCAUUUUGAUGCGCGCCAUCUCAAGCCUCUCUAGGCUAACACCUCCUGUUGCUUCUACAUCAGGUUUGUCCUCAGUUUUGCUGGCCGCAGCAAUACCAGAAAAAAUCCAGCUUACUCCUUCUCCAACAAUAGCAGACUUGACCAUCUCAGCCAUGGAUUCCGAUGUGUGGUAACCAGCUCAAGAAAGACUAGCCUUGUUGCUCUCCUCUGAAUACGACUCACUUGUACAAGUUCAAUGCCUUUUGUUGCUGCUUCUCCUUGCUUCGUUGGUGUAGUGAUCCAAGAGAGCGGUUGAAAUAUCGAAGCUGUGCUUCCAAAACAUGUGAGCGGCUGAAACAUCUAAGCUUGAUGGUGUCCUUUUGGUUAAGUGGAGACAAAAGAUUUGUCUCGAUCCAUUACCUAAGCCCCGAGGAAGGCUCUACCCUCGCAUCGUCUCUCUGAGGCAACUCGAGGGUUCCCAACCCUAGCACCGCCAUCCCCCUUCCCCACUCCUCCUUCCACUCCGCCGACGCCUGAGGUGCGCCCCGGCUCGCGCGCGCGUCAUCUAUGAUGGUGGCGGCGGGGAUCUGGCUGCUCUGCGUCUCAUGGAGGGCCUAGGGCACCCGGGCGGCGGCCCUGGAUGGUGUGCCCACCGUGGAUCGUUUGGCAGGUGGCAACGGUGGGUGCUGGAUGGUUGUCCUCUUCGCUGCGUGGGUAGCAAGGGGGCAGCGGACGUGGGUCGCAACGCGGUGGUCUCCUCGCGGACCGCAUCAUCGUCUUGUAGAGAAGGCCCGCCUCAUCUUGCCCGAUCUGCUCGAUCCCCUUCUGAUUCUGGUGGCUGCCGUCCCUCUUGGUGCUGUCCUUCGGCUCGGGUGGUUGGGAGUUCGAGGUUGUGAAUUGGAACCGGGGUAACCCCUUGGCCAGCGCGGCGGCCACAGCGAAGUCGACGCCUUUGGCGCCGAUCCCCUCCUUGGAGGCUUCGGUGAGGUUCCCCUCCUCCUCUUCCUACCCCCUGCUUAGUGGUGAAAACUUGGUCCCCUGGUUGGGCGGCGACGGUGUUGCGACGGCGUAUUCCUUCUUGGAGGUGUCAUCCGGGGAUAGCAGUGGUGGCGGGUGUGCAGUGGUGGUUCUAGUGGUGGUGGCUGGCGGCUUGUGCCGGCCAUGUUCACUUGCGGCUGCUCCAACGGCUUUCGUCCUGCGCGUGUGUAGGGUGACACUACUAGGGAAAAGCCUAGCAGCAGCGCGGGUUUUGGGCCUCUCAGUAGCGCGGGGACAGGCGCUACUAAUAAGGCGCUACAGCUAACGUAUAGCAGUAGCGCCUGUUGUCCCACGCUACUGCUAUACAUGAAUAGCUGUAGCGCUGUUUAGAAAAGGGCGCUGCUGAUAUUAUCUACAACGAUGUGUACCGGAAACGCUACUGGUAAUGCGGCGCUACUGCUAAAUUUCACCCCCUCGCUACUACUAGUUUCAUUAGUUUUUUUCUUGCAUAUUUGUUUUUGUAUUUGUUUUGUAUUUGAAUAGGCUUUAUGCAAUAAUCUUUAGCAUAUCAUACACAUACAAAUGUAAUCAUAGCAUAUACAUACAAUUAGUCCCAUCAAAUCAUGUCAUCGUCAUAAUCAUCAUCCAACACAAAGUGGUCUCACGUCAUCAUCUCGAAAAUAGCGAUACAAGUCCUCGAUUACUUGCAAAUAUAUCGUCAUCCAUCUAAACAAUGGUAUACACGAGAAGAGCUAUCACUUUGAGUACAUGAGUUCGUAUCCCUCUCUCGCAUUAGCGUGAACCUAAACUAACUACUGCCUGUUGCUCGGAAACCAGAAACCGGUACACCUGGGCCUGACACUCCGGCCACUCAUCGUAUAUAUACUCCUGGCGUAGCACUUCUUCGCCAUCGAUGAUCUAUGCACCUGCAUCGUCACAUGAGUCGAUGAUAUGCAACAUAUAUAGUUGAGCAACAGAAACAGACAGACUUGGCAAAAAUAAAAACAACAUAUCAUAAGCAUAAAUAACAAAGUUCAUCGUACCCAAAAUGCCCUACCUAGAGUGAUCCUCGCUAGUGGAGGAGGAGGUCGGUUUAAUUACAUCACAAAAAUUCGUCUGCCGCCCGGUAGACGUCGUCGCAAUCACCAGAACCCCGUCCUUCAUCGUUGCUAGCCAUAUUUCCUACGAUUAAAUCUAGUCAAUUAAUUCUAGACCUAAUAAAAUGAAUAAUGACAUAAAAAAGGCCCAUUGUUUUGCAGGAAUGUUGACUCCUUCCUGGUGCGGAAAAUCCCGGGCACUCGAUAUGUCCUAGUUUGUAGCACAAGUCAUGCCGAAAUUCACGGAAAAUUUUGGCAUGACCUUUGCUAAAAAGUGGACAAAUCGAGAACCUGAAAUUUGCUGGAACAGAAAUGAAUCAACAUUCCAGCAAACCAUAGGACACUCAGCAUCAUUCCCUGAAAACAGUGUUCAAAUAUCCCUCUUCAACACCGCAACACAUGUCCAAAUAUACACGAGCAACCACAUGUCCAAAUUUCACAAGCUAAUUCAAAAAUAAAGUGUAGAAGAAAAUUCAUUUAACUACUAAUAGAACAAAAUUCAGUUAACUUUAGUGCUCUAUAAUGAUGAAAGGAAAAAAUUUCAGUUAACUACUAAUUUCAUUCAUUUAGGUUAUUCAUUUAACAUCACCUAAUUAACCUACUGUACCACUACUACUAGCAGCACUACUAACCUAAUUAACCUAGCAAAAUUCUAGUGCCCUAACUGAAAAACAUCUAAUUAACAUCUACUGGUACCACUAUUGCCCUAACCUAAUUAACAUCUACUAGUAUCACCAUAUACUAUACAAGCAGCAUCUACCCUAAUUAAACCCUACUGCCCUAACUAACUUUUGUUGUAAACCAAAUUUUUUGCUCUAAACUAAUUUUUUCUCUAACAUCUACUACUUAACAUCCUUUGCUCUAAACUAAAUUUUUUGCUAUAAACAAACUUUUGCUCUACUAAUUUUUUCUCUAAAAUGCAGAGAGAGACGAGUCGUGGGGAGGGGUGGGGGACUUACAGAGAGUGGAGAGAUGGUGGCGGGGAGGUGCUCGGUGACGGAGGCAGGGGCGGAGAGGGUGGGCUCGGGCACGGGAAACGGCGGUCCUGGGUGGGCUCGGGUGGCGGUGAGGUGGAGGCCGCCGACGGUGACGUCGAGGGCGGCCUCGGGCGGCGGCGGAGAGGCUGAGGGCGGCCUCGGGCGGCGGCGGUGAGGAUGACGACGGCCUUUGGGGGAAACGGUGAGGUUGCGGGCGUCCACGCCGGCAGGAGAUGGCGGCGAAGUGGGGCGACGGAGAAUUAGGGAGACGGUGGCGAGGGCGAGGGAUUUGGGGAAGAAGUGAAGGAAAUAUGCCCUAGAGGCAAUAAUAAAGUUAUUAUUUAUUGCCUCAUAUCAUGAUAAAUGUUUAUUAUUCAUGCUAGAAUUGUAUUAACCGGAAACAUGAUACAUGUGUGAAUACAUAGACAAACAUAUAGUCACUAGUAUGCCUCUACUUGACUAGCUCAUUAAUCAAAGAUGGUUAUGUUUCCUAACCAUAGACAUGUGUUUUCAUUUGAUUAAUGGGAUCACAUCAUUAGAAGAAUGAUGUGAUUGACAUGACCCAUUCCGUUAGCCUAGCACUUGAUCGUUUAGUAUACUGCUAUUGCUUUCUUCAUGACUUAUACAUGUUCCUGUAACUAUGAGAUAUAUGCAACUCCCGUUUACCGGAGGAACACUUUGGGUACUACCAAACGUCACAACGUAACUGGGUGAUUAUAAAGGAGUACUACAGGUGUCUCCGAAGGUACAUGUUGAGUUGGUGUAUUUCGAGAUUAGGUUUUGUCACUCCGAUUGUCAGAGAGGUAUCUCUGGGCCCUCUCGGUAAUGCACAUCAUUAUAAGCCUUGCAAGCAAUGUGACCAAAUGAGUUGGUUACGGGAUGAUGCAUUACGGAACGAGUAAAGAGACUUGCCGGUAACGAGAUUGAACUAGGUAUUGGAUACCGAUGAUCAAAUCUCGGGCAAGUAACAUACCGAUGACAAAGGGAACAACGUAUAUUGUUAUGCAGUUUGACCGAUAAAGAUCUUCGUAGAAUAUGAAGGAACCAAUAUGGGCAUCCAGGUCCCGCUAUAGGUUAUUGACCGAGAAUGGUUCUAGGUCAUGUCUACAUAGUUCUCGAACCCAUAGGGUCCGCAAGCUUAACGUUACGAUGACAGUUUUAUUAUGAGUUUAUAAGUUUUGAUGUAACGAAGUUUGUUCAGAGUCCCGGAUGUGAUCACGGACAUGACGAGGAGUCUCGAAAUGGUCGAGACAUAAAGAUUGAUAUAUUGGAAGCCUAUGUUUGGACAUCGGAAAAGUUCCGGGUGAAAUCGGGAUUUUACCGGAACACCGGGGGGUUACCAGAACCCUCCCGGGGGUUAAUGGGCCUUAGUGGGCCAUGAGGGAGAAUAGGAGGGCCGGCCAGGGCAGGCCGCGCGCCCCCUCCCCCCCUAGUCCGAAUAGGACAAGGAAGGGGCGGGCGGCGCCCCCCUUUCCUCUUUCCCCUCCCCCCUUUCCUUCUCCACCAAGGCAAGAGGGGGGAGUCCUACUCCCGGUGGGAGUAGGACUCCUCCAGGCGCACCCCAAAGGGGCCGGCCGCACCUCCCCCUCCCUCCUUUAUAUACGGGGCAGGGGGGCACCCCAUAACACACAAGUUGAUCUACGGAUCGUUCCUUAGCCGUGUGCGGUGCCCCCCUCCACCAUAUUCCACCUCGAUCAUAUCGCCGCAGAGUUUGGGCGAAGCCCUGCGCCGGUGAAGCAUCAUCAUCGUCACCACGCCGUCAUGCUGACGGAACUCAUCCCCGAAGCUUUGCUGGAUCGGAGCCCGGGGAUCGUCAUCGAGCUGAACGUGUGCUGAACUCGGAGGUGCCGUACGUUCGGUGCUUGGAUUGGUCGGAUCGUGAAGACGUAUGACUACAUCAAGCGCGUUGUCAUAACGCUUCCUCUUACGGUCUACGAGGGUACGUGGACGGACACUCUCCCCUCUCGUUGCUAUGCCAUCACCAUGAUCUUGCGUGUACGUAGGAAAAUUUUGAAAUUACUACGUUCCCCAACAGUGGCAUCCGAGCCUAGGUAUUAUGCGUUGAUGUUAUAUGCACGAGUAGAACACAAGUGAGUUGUGGGCGAUAUAAGUCAUACUGCUUACCAGCAUGUCAUACUUUGGUUCAGCGGCAUUGUGAGAUGAAGCGGCCCGGACCGACAUUACGCGUACGCUGACGCGAGACUGGUUUCACCGCUACGAGCACUCGUUGCUUAAAGGUGACCGGCGGGUGUCUGUCUCUCUCACUUUAUUUGAACCGAGUGUGGCUACGCCCGGUCCUUGCGAAGGUUAAAACAACACCAACUUGACAAACUAUCGUUGUGGUUUUGAUGCGUAGGUAAGAACGGUUCUUGCUAAGCCCGUAGCAGCCACGUAAAAAUUGCAGCAACAAAGUAGAGGACGUCUAAUUUGUUUUUGCAGGGCAUGUUGUGAUGUGAUAUGGUCAAGACGUGAUGCUAUAUUUUAUUGUAUGAGAUGAUCAUGUUUUGUAACCGAAGUUAUCGGCAACUGGCAGGAGCCAUAUGGUUGUCGCUUUAUUGUAUGAAAUGCAAACGCCCUGUAAUUGCUUUACUUUAUCACUAAGCGGUACCGAUGGUCGUAGAAGCAAUAGAUGGCGUAACGACAACGAUGCUACGAUGGAGAUCAAGGUGUCGCGCCGGUGACGAUGGUGGUGAUCACGACGGUGCUUCGAAGAUGGAGAUCACAAGCACAAGAUGAUGAUGGCCAUAUCAUAUCACUUAUAUUGAUUGCAUGUGAUGUUUAUCCUUUAUGCAUCUUAUCUUGCUUUGAUUGACGGUAGCAUUUUAAGAUGAUCUCUCACUUAAUAAUCAAGAAGUGUUCUCCCUGAGUAUGCACCGUUGCGAAAGUUCUUCGUGCUGAGACACCACGUGAUGAUCGGGUGUGAUAGGCUCUACGUUCAAAUACAAGGGGUGCAAAACAGUUGCACACGCGGAAUACUCAGGUCAUACUUGACGAGCCUAGGAUAUACAGAUAUGGCCUCGGAACACGGAGACCGAAAGGUCGAACGUGAAUCAUAUAGUAGAUAUGAUCAACAUAGUGAUGUUCACCAUUGAAACUACUCCAUCUCACGUGAUGAUCGGACAUGGUUUAGUUGAUUUGGAUCACGUGAUCACUUAGAUGACUAGAAAGAUGUCUGUCUAAGUGGGAGUUCUUAAGUAAUAUGAUUAAUUGAACUUAAAUUUAUCAUGAACUUAGUACCUGAUAGUAUUUUGCUUGUCUAUGUUUGUUUGUAGAUAGAUGUCUCAUGCUGUUGUUCCGUUAAAUUUUAAUGCGUUCCUUGAGAAAGCAAAGUUGAAAGAUGAUGGUAGCAAUUACACGGACUGGGUCCGUAACCUGAGGAUUAUCCUCAUUGCUGCACAGAAAAGUUACGUCCUGGAAGCACCGUUGGGUGCCAGGCCUGCUGCUGAUGCAACUGACGAUGUUAAGAACGUCUGGCAGAGCAAAGCUGAUGACUACUCGAUAGUUCAGUGUGCCAUGCUUUACGGCUUAGAACCGGGUCUUCAACGACGUUUUGAACGUCAUGGAGCAUAUUAGAUGUUUCAGGAGUUGAAGUUAAUAUUUCAAGCAAAUGCCCGGAUUGAGAGAUAUGAAGUCUCCAAUAAGUUCUAUAGCUGCAAGAUGGAGGAGAAUAGUUCUGUCAGUGAACACAUACUCAAAAUGUCUGGGUAUAAUAAUUACUUGAUUCAACUGGGAGUUAAUCUUCCUGAUGAUAGUGUCAUUGACAGAAUUCUCCAAUCACUGCCACCAAGCUACAAGAGCUUCGUGAUGAACUAUAAUAUGCAAGGGAUGAACAAAACUAUUCCCGAGCUCUUCGCAAUGCUAAAAGCUGCGGAAGUAGAAAUAAAAAAGGAGCAUCAAGUGUUGAUGGUUAACAAGACCACCAGUUUCAAGAAAAAGGGCAAAGGGAAGAAGAAGGGGAACUUCAAAAAGAACAGCAAGCAAGUUGCUGCUCAAGAGAAGAAACCCAAGUCUGGACCUAAGCCUGAAACUGAGUGCUUCUACUGCAAGCAGACUGGACACUAGAAGCGGAACUGCCCCAAGUAUUUGGCGGAUAAUAAGGAUGGCAAAGUGAACAAAGGUAUAUGUGAUAUACAUGUUAUUGAUGUGUACCUUACUAAUGCUCGCAGUAGCACCUGGGUAUUUGAUACUGGUUCUAUUGCUAAUAUUUGCAACUCGAAACAGGGACUACGAAUUAAGCGAAGAUUGGCUAAGGACGAGAUGACGAUGCACGUGGGAAAUGGUUCCAAAGUCGAUGUGAUCGCGGUCGACACGCUACCUCUACAUCUACCAUAUGGAUUAGUUUUAGACCUAAAUAAUUGUUAUUUGGUGCCAGCGUUAAGCAUGAACAUUAUAUCUGGAUCUUGUUUGAUGCGAGACAGUUAUUCAUUUAAAUCAGAGAAUAAUGGUUGUUCUAUAUAUAUGAGUAAUAUCUUUUAUGGUCAUGCACCCUUGAAGAGUGGUCUAUUUUUAUUGAAUCUCGAUAGUAGUGAUACACAUAUUCAUAGUGUUGAAACCAAAAGAUGCAGAGUUGAUAACGAUAGUGCAACUUAUUUGUGGCACUGCCGUUUAGGUCAUAUCGGUGUAAAGCGCAUGAAGAAACUCCAUACUGAUGGGCUUUUGGAAUCACUUGAUUAUGAAUCACUUGGUACUUGCGAACCGUGCCUCAUGGGCACGAUGACUAAAACGCCGUUCUCCGGAACUAUGGAGCGACCAACUGAUUUGUUGGAGAUCAUACAUAUUGAUGUUUGUGGUCCAAUGAAUGUUGAGGCUCGCGGCGGGUAUCGUUAUUUUCUCACCUUUACAGAUGAUUUGAGCAGAUAUGGGUAUAUCUACUUAAUGAAACACAAGACUGAAACAUUUGAAAAGUUCAAAGAAUUUCAGAGUGAAGUGGAAAAUCAUCGUAACAAGAAAAUAAAGUUUCUACGAUCUGAUCGUGGAGGAGAAUAUUUGAGUUACGAGUUUGGUCUACACCUGAAACAAUGCGGAAUAGUUUCGCAACUCACGCCACCCGGAACACCACAACGAAAUGGUGUGUCCGAACGUCGUAAUCGUACUUUACUAGAUAUGGAGCGAUCUAUGAUGUCUCUUACUGAUUUACCGCUAUCGUUUUGGGGUUAUGCUUUAGAGACGGCCGCAUUCACGUUAAAUAGGGCACCAUCAAAAUCCGUUGAGACGACACCUUAUGAACUGUGGUUUGGCAAGAAACCAAAGUUGUCGUUUCUUAAAGUUUGGGGCUGCGAUGCUUAUGUGAAGAAACUUCAACCAGAUAAGCUCGAACCCAAAUCGGAGAAAUGUGUCUUCAUAGGAUACCCAAAAGAGACUAUUGGGUACACCUUCUAUCACAGAUCUGAGGGAAAGAUUUUCGAUGCUAAAAUCGGAUCCUUUCUAGAGAAGGAGUUUGUCUCGAAAGAAGUGAGUGGGAGGAAAGUAGAACUUGAUGAGAUAACUGUAUCUACUCCCUUGUUGGAAAGUAGUUCAUCACAAGAAUCGGUUCCUGUGACAACUACACCAACUAGUGAGGAAGCUGAUGAUAUUGAUCAUGAAACUUCAGAUCAAGUUUCUACUGAACCUCGUAGGUCUACCAGAGUAAGAUCUGCACCAGAGUGGUACGGUAAUCCUAUUCUGGAAGUCAUGUUACUUGACCAUGAUGAACCUACGAACUAUGAGGAAGCGAUGAUGAGCCCAGAUUCCGCAAAAUGGCUAGAGGCCAUGAAAUCUGAGAUGGGAUCCAUGUACGAAAACAAAGUAUGGACUUUGGUUGACUUGCCUAUGAUCGGCAAGCCAUUGAGAAUAAAUGGAUCUUUAAGAAGAAGACUGACGCUGAUGGUAAUAUAACUAUCUAUAAAGCUCGACUUGUUGUGAAAGGUUUUCGACAAGUUCAAGGGGUUGACUACGAUGAGACUUUCUCACCCGUAGCGAUGCUUAAGUCUGUCCGAAUCAUGUUAGCUAUUGCUGCAGUUCAUGAUUAUGAAAUUUGGCAAAUGGAUGUCAAAACUGCAUUCUUGAAUGGAUUUUUGGAAGAAGAAUUGUAUAUGAUGCAACCAGAAGGUUUUGUUGAUCCAAAAGGUGCUAACAAAGUGUGCAAGCUCCAGCGAUCCAUUUAUGGACUGGUGCAAGCAUCUCGGAGUUGGAAUAAACGUUUUGAUAGUGUGAUCAAAGCAUAUGGUUUUAUACAGACUUUUGGAGAAGCCUAUAUUUACAAGAAAGUGAGUGGGAGCUCUGUAGCAUUUCUAAUUUUAUAUGUAGAUGACAUAUUAUUAAUUGGAAAUGAUAUAGAAUUUCUGGAUAGCAUAAAGGGAUACUUGAAUAAAAGUUUUUCAAUGAAAGACCUCGGUGAAGCUGCUUACAUAUUGGGCAUCAAGAUCUAUAGAGAUAGAUCAAGACGCUUAAUAGGACUUUCACAAAGCACAUACCUUGACAAAAUUUUGAAAAAGUUCAAAAUGGAUCAAGCAAAGAAAGGUUUCUUGCCUGUGCUACAUGGUGUGAAGUUGAGUCAAACUCAAUGCCCGACCACAGCAGAAGAUAGAGAGAAAAUGAAAGAUGUUCCCUAUGCUUCAGCCAUAGGCUCUAUCAUGUAUACAAUGAUGUGUACUAGACCUGACGUAUGCUUAGCAAUAAGCUUGGCAGGAAGGUACCAAAGUAAUCCAGGAGUGGAUCACUGGACAGCGGUCAAGAACAUCCUGAAAUACCUGAAAAGGACUAAGGAUAUGUUUCUCGUAUAUGGAGGUGACAAAGAGCUAGUCGUAAAUGGUUACGUUGAUGCAAGCUUUGACACUGAUCCGGACGAUUCUAAAUCGCAAACCGGAUACGUGUUUUUAUUAAACGGUGGAGUUGUAAGUUGGUGCAGUUCUAAACAAAGCGUCGUGGCGGGAUCUACAUGUGAAGCGGAGUACAUAGCUGCUUCUGAAGCAGCAAAUGAAGGAGUCUGGAUGAAGGAGUUCAUUACUGAUCUAGGUGUCAUACCUAGUGCAUCGGGACCAACGAAGGUCUUCUAUGACAAUACUGGUGCAAUUGCUUUGGCAAAGGAAUCCAGAUUUCACAAGAGGACCAAGCACAUCAAGAGACGCUUCAAUUCCAUUCGGGACCAAGUCCAAGUGUGAGACAUAGAGAUUUGCAAAAUACAAGUGGAUCUGAAUGUUGCAGACCCGUUGACUAAGCCUCUCUCACGAGCAAAACAUGAUCAACACCAAGACUCCAUGGGUGUUAGAAUCAUUACUAUGUAAUAUAGAUUAUUGACUCUAGUGCAAGUGGGAGACUGAAGGAAAUAUGCCCUAGAGGCAAUAAUAAAGUUAUUAUUUAUUUCCUCAUAUCAUGAUAAAUGUUUAUUAUUCAUGCUAGAAUUGUAUUAACCGGAAACAUGAUAAAGUGUGAAUACAUAGACAAACAUAUAGUCACUAGGAUGCCUCUACUUGACUAGCUCAUUAAUCAAAGAUGGUUAUGUUUCCUAACCAUAGACAUGUGUUUUCAUUUGAUUAAUGGGAUCACAUCAUUAGAAGAAUGAUGUGAUUGACAUGACCCAUUCCGUUAGCCUAGCACUUGAUCGUUUAGUAUACUGCUAUUGCUUUCUUCAUGACUUAUACAUGUUCCUGUAACUAUGAGAAAUAUGCAACUCCCGUUUACCGGAGGAACACUUUGGGUACUACCAAACGUCACAACGUAACUGGGUGAUUAUAAAGGAGUACUACAGGUGUCUCCGAAGGUACAUGUUGAGUUGGUGUAUUUCGAGAUUAGGUUUUGUCACUCCGAUUGUCAGAGAGGUAUCUCUGGGCCCUCUCGGUAAUGCACAUCAUUAUAAGCCUUGCAAGCAAUGUGACCAAAUGAGUUGGUUACGGGAUGAUGCAUUACGGAACGAGUAAAGAGACUUGCCGGUAACAAGAUUGAACUAGGUAUUGGAUACCGAUGUCAAAUCUCGGGCAAGUAACAUACCGAUGACAAAGGGAACAACGUAUAUUGUUAUGCAGUUUGACCGAUAAAGAUCUUCGUAGAAUAUGAAGGAACCAAUAUGGGCAUCCAGGUCCCGCUAUUGGUUAUUGACCGAGAAUGGUUCUAGGUCAUGUCUACAUAGUUAUCGAACCCAUAGGGUCCGCACGCUUAACAUUAUGAUGAUAGUUUUAUUAUGAGUUUAUAAGUUUUGAUGUACUGAAGUUUGUUCGGAGUCCCGGAUGUGAUCAUGGACAUGACGAGGAGUCUCGAAAUGAUCGAGACAUAAAGAUUGAUAUAUUGGAAGCCUAUGUUUGGACAUCGGAAAGGUUCCGGGUGAAAUCGGGAUUUUACCGGAACACCGGGGGGUUACCGGAACCCUCCCGGGGGUUAAUGGGCCUUAGUGGGCCAUGAGGGAGAAGAGGAGGGCCGGCCAGUUUAGGCCGCGCGCCCCCUCCCCCCCUAGUCCGAAUAGGACAAGGAAGGGUGGGCGACGCCCCCCUUUCCUCUUUCCCCUCCCCCCUUUCCUUCUCCACCAAGGCAAGAGGGGGGAGUCCUACUCCCGCUGGGAGUAGGACUCCUCCAGGCGCACCCCAAAGGGGCCGGCUGCACCUCCCCCUCCCUCCUUUAUAUACGGGGGCAGGGGGGCAACCCAUAACACACAAGUUGAUCUACGGAUCGUUCCUUAGCCGUGUGCGGUGCCCGCCUCCACCAUAUUCCACCUCGGUCAUAUCGUCACAGAGUUUAGGCGAAGCCCUGCGCCGGUGAAGCAUCAUCAUCAUCACCACGCCGUCGUGCUGACGGAACUCAUCCCCGAAGCUUUGCUGGAUCGGAGCCCGGGGAUCGUCAUCGAGCUGAACGUGUGCUGAACUCGGAGGUGCCGUACGUUCGGUGCUUGGAUCGGUCGGAUCGUGAAGACGUACGACUACAUCAACCGCGUUGUCAUAACGCUUCCGCUUACGGUCUACGAGGGUACGUGGACGGACACUCUCCCCUCUCGUUGCUAUGCCAUCACCAUGAUCUUGCGUGUACGUAGGAAAAUUUUGAAAUUACUACGUUCCCCAACAAGAAGUGUGGUGGCCGGGGGGCGGGGGGGGAACCGCUAUUCAAGUGAAACGUAACGGUAGCGCGUUUCCGAAACACGCUAUAGCUAAGUUAGCUACAACAGAUUUCCUGAAACCCGCUACUGCUAUUCCUUUCUCCUUUUUUCCCUUUUUUCCUUUAUUUUUCUUUACAUUUUUUUCCUUUCUCCUUUUUGUAUUUCUUUCAUUUUCAUUUACUUUUCUACUUGUUUUUCACUUUAUUUCAUUUCCGUUAGCAGCAGCGCCUUACACAUAAGCGCGCUACAGCUAAGGAGAGUAGCAGUAGCGCUGGGCCAGUAUACGCGCUACUGCUAGGUUGGGCUAGCCAGGUACGCCUAGUUCAAACAUAGCAGCAACGCACUUCGCUUGUACGCUCUACUGCUAAAGUCAUAGCAGUAGCGCGGUUUAUUUACGCGCGCUGCUACUAAGUAGCAAUAGCGUUUGAUUUUGUACAACGCUACUGGUAACAUUCUGUGUAUAAGGUUUUCCCUGGUAGUGUGAUGGCAUUAGCGCUCCUUCGCAGCUGCUGUUGCCUUUGAGCUGUUCUAUCUAGCGCUCUGUAUCAGUACAUGCCGUGGUGGAGCGGUACUUCAUCUCACUCAUUGUUGGCGGCGAAGAUCGGCGGCAUGGCGCUGUGGAGGCGCGACGCUCGAUGAGCGGAGAUGGACUUGUGCAGGAGGAGGUUGCUGUCUGGCGUCAUGCUGACGUCGAUGGCGGAGUGGCCUACACAAGGUAGAAGACUCAAUAUAUUCUGAAGACGGACUUGUGGAAGAUGGUUGCGAUGACACAAGAGUGUGUCCGGCCGGAUUGUGCCCCAGACCCGGUAUGUGGCUCAGCUGGGGCUUCCGGCUUUUGAUGUUAGGUUUAGGUGAGUGGUUUGGAUAGUGGCCCAGCUAGCAUCCCUUCAUCAUAUGGAUAAGAAUAGCGGUAUAUGUUGCCGAGAUGGUGGAUUCAGGAAUAUUGUUUGUAAUACUUUGUAAGGUCCUCGAGAAUAAUUAAUAAAGUGGCAGUAUGCAUCUCCCAGAUGCAGAGGCCGGGGGUCAUCCUCCUUUUCGAAAAAAAGAAAAAAAAGCUAAGAGAGAGCUGGUCUGCUGCUGCCUCGGCGGAGCAAAAUGGGUUGAAAAAAUAUAUUUCGAGACAAACUCCUUGUAGGUGGUGCCAGCGGACAUGGCGUUUAGUACUCCAUUUUCUUUUGUACUCACUUUGUUUUUAUUUAAUCCGUGUAUUUGUUUUGGUGAAAAUCAAGCUUUGUAAACUUUGACAAAAUUUAUAAACAAAAAUAUUAACAUAUACAAUAAUAAAUUAAUACCAUUAGAUCCAUUAUUUGAUACAUUUUUUACAGCACAUAGAUUUUUUAUGGUAAAUACUUAAAAAACAUUAUAAAUUUGGUCAAACUUUACGAAGUUUGACUUUAGUCAAACAUAAUAUGCAGAGUAAAUAAAAAAGGAGGGAGUACUCUGCUUGCAUGAGAGGUACCGGCAGUACUCCUCACCUUAUCUUCAAGGCACGUGCUGCGCUUUUGUUUCUAGAGGGUGGCACAAGCUCACAUUUACAUCUUGACAGGCCUGAACCCUACAGCAGAGGGUGACACAAUUUACAUACACAAGUAUUGAUAGCCUAGUCCCAAACACUUACUAAUUCUAAAACACUAUGAAAACAUCGUCAUGAUUCCAGCAGAUAUCUUCAAAAUAGUAAAAGCUUUUAGACAAUUUGUCUUAGGCAGCGGUGGAGAUUGGUUCCCAGUGGCGUUUCUACAUGUAAGUUGUGGGGAGCAUCUUGAAAAACCAGGCUAAAAUUAUUGUACAUUUAUUGUAUAUUAUGAAGAAAAUAAUUCAAAAUUUAGCAUCAAACCCACCGAUUAUUUCGGUUGGCUUUGCCACUGCAUGGCCUUGAUAAAAAUACAAGGGGACUUUUUCUAAGGGAGGUUAGAUUAAGAAAAUAUACUUUUCUGGCCCCUCCAAACAUCCUUAUUUUCUGGCACAUUAUCUGGAAUACAUCGGAGAAAAGUAAAGGAACUAGGUAUGGAAUUUUCUUGGAAAGAAAGAUAUUGAAUGAGGAAGGGAGACUGGAAAGCCCGAGUGGAGAAGUGGGAAUCAGAGGGUGGAUGGAGGAAGCCAAAAACUAAAAUCAGGGAAGGAUAUUGAAUAGAAGAUAUAAUCAGGAGAAAGAGAAAGCGGCAUGACGCCGGUCACGGGCAAAUCGCCAAAGUCACCGUGAAAGUUACUGCAGCAGGGGAAAGUUUUUGCUGCUAUCAGUUCUCUGUUUUUCUUAGCGAAGCUAUCAGUUGUCUGCUUUUUUAGGCCUGGCAAAACGUAAAAGGAAAAAAAAACUGGAAGGAGCAAAGCCCGCGGGCUCCACUUGCUGGCUGACUCACUUUAGUUGGUGAUGCUGGGCCAACCAUGCGGGUUGCUUGCAGCCGAAUCAUUGGCCAAUGAAUCAGCCCAUGAACACGCCGUGCCUCUAUUCCGCGUUGAUUAGUGCUCUACCAAUUGAGCUACAUCCCCUUUCACAUGCAUUACACUAAUUCAAGCAAAUAUUAUUAUUAUUUUUUGCAAGAAAAUUCUAAUCUAUUCAUUUUCAAUCAUGGCAUUACAAAGAACAACAGAGGUAAAAAAAA
rnacentral:lncRNA from 1 species